AGAAAAACCUUGCCCGGCGUAGACGCUCCCCACGCCACGGAGGUCUGCGCAGACCAGCCCCGGCUCCCCCGGCCGCUCAGCGAGUGGAUUCGACUCUGCGGAGCUGAAAGAGGAAGGCAGCUUCCAAUCUGUUUUCACAGAGAAUGGCCUCACUUCCGCCAGGACGGGCAGCAAGGCUCAAAACGCCGAGGGAACAGGCUACAGUCGUUUGUUUCUCCUGUCGUGGGGUCUACGCUGCACCACCGAUGUGUAGGACUUGCCGUGAGCUUGCCUUUUCUUUUACUGCCCUCAGGGAGGAAAUCAGUGCUGCUUAACACAGUGGCAACGGGUUGUGCUGCUUUUACUGCAGAGGAGGGGUUCAGCAAUAUAAAAAUGCCUUUGCGCUGGGUUGAAAUCUGCACACCUGCGUUUUCGCACCUCUCCAGGCUUGUCCACCGGGUCGCCCGGAUCCGCAGAAGAGGCACUUUGCUCCUAUUGCCGGAGCGCGGAAAACAAAGGCCGUUAACACGUGAAGAAGAGAAAGAAAAGGCUGGACGCGGGUAUGGAGCGGCAGCUCUGCGCAGGCGGUCGGGACCCAGCCAGCUGCGCCCAGGAUUGGCAUCUCUUGCUCUUUCUAAUGUCGCCACCUCCAGGCAAGUAGUAACUACGCUGGCUGUCACUGGGAGAGGAGACGGGAGCCGUCGCGCUGUGAAAGGUGGCGUGGGAGCCGCCGGUUUGCAGCUGGCCGGGCGAACCUGUUGA
rnacentral:lncRNA from 1 species